ACGAGAGGAAUCAACUAAGUAUGCGAGCUCGCCUGCUACUAAUCGGAUAAUUGUGUCCAUGUGAACCUUCUUCUUUCCAGUACUCAAAACCUGAGUUCACCAAAAAAAAGGAUCAGUUUAGGCGAAGCAUUGAAUUGGUAAAAAUGUCUAUAAUCUAUACAACAGCUUGCAAUACAGAUAACAACUCGUUGAGAAUUGUUGCAUUGAUGCAGGUCUAGCUGGAACUUGGUGGAUGGACCUAGAUGAGAGGAGGUAGAGGUUCCAUAGCAGGUUACCCAGGGUCCCGGUGGUCCGGUGAGAUGGACGCCGCGGACGAACUUGCCAAGCAUGUUGCACUUCCGCUGGGCGAUGUGUGCAUGUCUCGCUUGUCCUCUCCAAGGGCUAGUUAGCAGUAGCAACAUCAGAAUCGGAGAGUAGGAGCGAGCCUUGGGGAGGGUACCUGGUAUUAUCGCCCUGUCGCUCAUCCGGUGCCGCUGGAUCUCCCUCCAAUGGCAAAUCGACCUCGCGGAAGAAACGGCAAGCGACACUGGCUCGAUUCAAUAGUGGUAUAUGAGAUAGGGAAUUGGGAUGAUCAGGAGCGGCAACGCAGCUCUGCCUCUCGGCCGGUGGGUUGGCCUCAUGGCCACCAGCCACCGACCACAUAGGAGCUCAGCCCUGGGCCACCCCAUGGCCACCCCAUAGCCACCAAGCACCGGCAAAGUAGGAGCUCAGCUUGGGUGGCGUGCCACCCUGAUGGACGCGAGCACACGCAGCAAUGGAGGGAGAGGAGAGAGCCGAUCGUUGGGGUGGAGGUGGGCGGCGGCCAUGGAAUUUUAUUUGACUGGGACGAUGGGAU